CACGUAGGCACCAAGCGUUGUCCGGAUUUAUCGGGCGUAAAGAGCUCGUAGGCGGUUCAGUAAGUCAGGUGUGAAAUCUUUGGGCUUAACCCAAAGCGUGCACUUGAUACUGCUGUGACUUGAGUUCGGUAGGGGAGUGGGGAAUUCCUAGUGUAGCGGUGAAAUGCGCAGAUAUUAGGAGGAACACCGGUGGCGAAGGCGCCACUCUGGGCCGAAACUGACGCUGAGGAGCGAAAGCGUGGGUAGCAAACAGG
rnacentral:rRNA from 1 species